GUGCUACGGCAUUAGCGAGGACCUCCGCGAGUUUGUCAACGGCAUGACCGUAAUCACCUUCCGUGACUUCCCCUUGCAAGGUAUUGUUUACUCGAGUGCUGGAUUGACUGAUGGCAUGAUUUUGUUUGCACAGAUGAGUUGGAGCUGUCGGGUGUGUCCACGGCAAAUAGAGGAAGAGAGAUUCCAAAGGGAGCAAUCUAGACGAGUUAGUAUUUUUAGUUCCUUUGAAAUAAACUGUAACCCAGAUAUGGUACUGUAGUAUAUGUAGCACUAAAUCUGUUUAGCAUUAAGAUAUUUCUACAUAUUUGCAGGCAGAGAAACAAAGACAAAAGGAGGAACUCAGAAAAGAGAAAUAGAUGGCGAGGCAGAUGAGCGCUUGGAAUUGACUGCGCAAAGCAAAGGGUUACCCUCAAUGCUUUGUCUUGAUAGUGACACAUUGCAGCAGUUGGAGUCAUUCUGAGGUAUGCGUAUUAAGUUUAAUUCUAACUUCUUAAUACUACACGCCACCGAAGGUCACUUCUAAUGUAUUUGUAGGAAACAAAUCCAUAUUCUCAUGUAUCCAUAGUAGAAUAUAACUAGCACAUUAGGAUGGAAUGAGAAACAUUAAUUUUUAACACUGUAACACAUCUAUUGAAUUUCUGGGUGAAGCUUGACCACUGAAAAGUGUAAUAUACUUGCUUUUGUAGGGUUAAUGAAUGCAGAUUCAUAAUAGAUUAUAAAUCUGUCGAGGCUUGUUUUGAUUUCUACUUUCAGUAAAAUCAGAUUUAUCAAACUAGCCUUAACACAGUAAAAGCAAUCUGUAGUGAGUACAGGAUUUGUAAUGCUGACGUCUCCCUAUGAUUGAUGCAACAGCAGAUGACCUUAUAGAUGUCAUUGAGGGAAGUAGAAUCUACAUGCCUUGCAUCUACCCCCUAGCAGAUGACGG
rnacentral:lncRNA from 1 species